GGUCCCGUAGUGUAGCGGUAAACACCCUGGACUUUGAAUCCAGUAAGGCGAGUUCGAAUCUCGCCGGGACUU
rfam:Angiostrongylus cantonensis strain Taiwan genome assembly, scaffold: ACAC_scaffold0001440